UACGGGGGAGCAAGCGUUGUUCGGAAUUACUGGGCGUAAAGGGUGCGUAGGUGGCGCCGUAAGUCGGGUGUGAAAUUUCGGAGCUUAACUCCGAAACUGCAUUCGAUACUGCGGUGCUUGAGGACUGGAGAGGAGACUGGAAUUCAUGGUGUAGCAGUGAAAUGCGUAGAGAUCAUGAGGAAGACCAGUGGCGAAGGCGGGUCUCUGGACAGUUC
rnacentral:rRNA from 1 species